rnacentral:rRNA from 1 species
UACGGAGGGUGCAAGCGUUAAUCGGAAUUACUGGGCGUAAAGCGCGCGUAGGCGGUUUUUUAAGUCGGAUGUGAAAGCCCCGGGCUCAACCUGGGAACUGCGUCCGAUACUGGAAGACUAGAAUGCGGGAGAGGGAGGUAGAAUUCCAUGUGUAGCAGUGAAAUGCGUAGAUAUAUGGAGGAAUACCAGUGGCGAAGGCGGCCUCCUGGCUCGACAUUGACGCUGAGGUGCGAAAGCGUGGGGAGCAAACGGG